CGAUUAGUGAAUAUUUGGAUUGGAUUGAUCACCAGGCCAUCGAUCAUAAGAGCAAAAAGAGAUUUAAAGAUCUUCUCUUUCUAUUCGAUAGGAUGCUCUUAUGGCGUGUAAGGGUGCCAUAUGAUUUAAUUCUAUGAAGAAGAAAGCGAAAGAAAGAACUUACCUUUCUACAAAAUCCUAGAUGUUGGAAUCCUAGGAGUUGUUGUAUGUGAUACAAAGC
rnacentral:lncRNA from 1 species